rnacentral:tRNA from 1 species
UCCCUGGUGUCCAGUGGCUAAGACUCUGCACUCUCAAUGCAGGGGGUCCAGGUUUGAUCCCUGAUCAGAGAA